AGAGGAGAGGAAGUGCAGCUGAAGGGCUGGGUAAUGAAGAUCACUGGAAAGGGAGCCCUAAGUUGGUUACCGACAGAGCAGUAGCAAUGAAAAACCUAAUGGCCACCACCUCUCUCCCUGCACUCUUUUUCGCUGAGAGGGACCAAAAAAGGAUCAUCUUGGUUAUGGUACUUCCACAUCCAAGCUUUCCUAGAGAAAGGAGGCAGAAUCUGUCGUGGCAAUGGGAGGCUAAUACCCAGGGGACUUCCCUUUGCAGCUCCGGAGAAGCAGGUCAGUUCAAACAGUUCAUUUUCUGAAUGGACACAACAUUUUUAUGGAUUCCAAGCCCAGACGGGACCAUUGUGAUCAUCCAGACUAACUUCCUUUUCUCUGUAAAAAGGAAACUUCAAAAGUUUGCCUUUUCAUUCUGAAUCUGAUUGGGGG